rnacentral:rRNA from 1 species
CGAACGGGUGAGUAACACGUGGGCAACCUGCCCAAAAGAGGGGGAUAACACUUGGAAACAGGUGCUAAUACCGCAUAACCAUAGUUACCGCAUGGUAACUAUGUAAAAGGUGGCUAUGCUACCGCUUUUGGAUGGGCCCGCGGCGCAUUAGCUAGUUGGUGGGGUAAAGGCUUACCAAGGCAAUGAUGCGUAGCCGAACUGAGAGGUUGAUCGGCCACAUUGGGACUGAGACACGGCCAAACUCCUACGGAAGGCAGCAG